rnacentral:rRNA from 1 species
CCCAGACUCCUACGGGAGGCAGCAGUCGGGAAUAUUGCGCAAUGGAGGAAACUCUGACGCAGUGACGCCGCGUGCAGGAAGAAGGUUUUCGGAUUGUAAACUGCUUUAGACAGGGAAGAAACAAGACAGUACCUGUAGAAUAAGCUCCGGCUAACUACGUGCCAGCAGCCGCGGUAAUACGUAGGGAGCAAGCGUUAUCCGGAUUUAUUGGGUGUAAAGGGUGCGUAGACGGAGAAGCAAGUUAGUUGUGAAAUCCCUCGGCUUAACUGAGGAACUGCAACUAAAACUACUUCCCUUGAGUGCUGGAGAGGAAAGUGGAAUUCCUAGUGUAGCGGUGAAAUGCGUAGAUAUUAGGAGGAACACCAGUGGCGAAGGCGGUCAACUGGACAGCAACUGACGCUGAGGCGCGAAAGCGUGGGGAGCAAACAGGAUUAGAUACCCUUGUA